CAGCCGCCGCGGUAAUACGAAGGGGGCUAGCGUUGUUCGGAUUUACUGGGCGUAAAGGGCGCGUAGGCGGACUGAUAAGUCAGGGGUGAAAUCCCAGAGCUCAACUCUGGAACUGCCUUUGAUACUGGGUAUCUUGAGUAUGGAAGAGGUGAGUGGAAUUCCGAGUGUAGAGGUGAAAUUCGUAGAUAUUCGGAGGAACACCAGUGGCGAAGGCGGCUCACAGGUCCAUUACUGACGCUGAGGUGCGAAAGCGUGGGGAGCAAACAGGAUUAGAUACCCGCGUAGUCCCUGUCUCUUAUAC
rnacentral:rRNA from 1 species